rnacentral:sRNA from 1 species
GGAACUCCAUACUGAUUUCAAUAUGGCUACACUAAUGUCCAUUUGUAAAGAUCUCCCACCCUCUGUGCACAUCAGCAUCUUCCCUCUUGACUUGCUUUGAGCCUAAAAUCUGAUCUGGUUUGAAGAAAGUUUCAUGAACUGCUGAGAAGAACCCAUUUACCACAGGUAUUGGGUGAAAUAAUUCUGCUGGUGUCUUGCUUAAUGUAGCCCAGGCUGGCUUUGGGCAAUGUUGGGGAGUAACUGAGGACAUCACGUACCCCAGGAAGGCACUCUACAAACUCAGUUGAAUUCCCCAGUCAAGGGAGAGAUUGAUCUCUGAAGCUAGUGCCUCAGCUGGAACUGCUGGAUAUUUCGAUGCUGGUCAGAGCAGAGGGCUGAGCCAACUGUAUUUGGCCAAGCCUUGCAGCUCAGGGGUAUGGGGAGAUACCCCCUCAGGAGGUUUGGAAGCAGGAACAUUGCAGGCUGGGAAAUUUUAUGGUCUGUUUAGUUAGGGUUACUAUUGUUAUGAUAAAACAUCAUGACCAAAGCAUCUUGGGGAGGAAAGGUUUAUUUCCCUCACAGUUUCAUACAACAGUCAGUCAUCAGAAGCAUUGAGGGCAGGAGCUGAUGCAGAGACUGUGGAGGGAUCCUGCUUACUGGCUUCCAUGAUCUACAUUUCUCUUAGCAGUCUUAUCUUCCAGGCUCCAUCCCUUUGGGCAAGAUGAUGGGGAACAAGAAGAUGGGAGCAGGGCAGACCUGGGCCUCACUUUAGGAGAAGCCCCAUUAGAUGGCUGGCUUCUACCUGGCUGAGAACUUUGGGGGUCGGUGGCAGGGAAGUAUGUGUCUCUUUGCAUCUUACAUAAUUUUCAUCAAAUCCAUGCAUCUGGAGUUCUGGUUGUCCCUUCCACCCAUGGUCCUCACACAGAAUGUGCCUGGCCCUUCUGGCUCUAACCUCCCAGGAGGCUCCUCAUUCCCUCAGCCAUCAGAGCAUACCAGGACCCCUCUAGGCACAGAGAUAGGAAUCAGAGGAGGACAGACUUACAUUCAGGAGGGCAGCGGACUCUGUAUCAAUGGAUAGAGUAAGUGAGGUGAGCCCUUACUUAGGGCAGGGUCCAACACCCCAGAAUUUAAGCAGCUACCAGUCAGCAGCCUACCAUGCACUAAGUGGUGUAUACAGUGCCCUGUGUACGUGUGCACCACCCACCGUGUAGCAUGAACACCACAUACCGUGUAACAGGCAUGGUAUAGUUAGCACUAUGCGAUGUGUCUAGGGGCUGACCUCAGGAGAGUGGGGUGGAAAGAUUCCUGUUCUGUUCUCCAGGAAAACUCGUGUCAGCCCUGCAGGGGCUUCAGGCAGUCCUGGCUCAGAAGUGGCUCAAAGGCCACUUCCUGCAGGAUUAAAUGCUCAGGAGUUGGAGACUGGGCUCAACCCACAAUAUAAAGUAAGGCGCAUGCCUUGCUCUGUUUGUGGUGCUGGCAGUGGGCAUUCUGCAGGAGAGAAGAUGGAUAUUUGGGAUGAGGGACACCCAGAUGUCACAGAGACAAUACCCCUUAAUGCCACUUACCUGUCCAUCAGUGUCCACAGCCCCCAUCCUUAUGGCCCCUUACAGAGUGCUGUCCACAAGAUGUAAGCAACAUUUCCCUUGCCUUUCUGCCCAGAUAUGGAGUCUUCUGGGUUUUGAUCUCUCCUCUGUGUCACCAUGCCCCUGGAGGACCUGGUCCCCCAUGUGAACCCUUGAUAAACACUGCACACUGUAUAGGUGGAUGGACAGUACUACAGCGACUGAGAGUCUUGAAUGACUGGCUAGCCCAGUAUCCAGUAGGUCCACUUGUAAAACUACAGAGCUCCCUGCAGGUCACUGUCCUCCGCUGUCCAGCUGAGAUGCUCUGAGAGCUUCAUCCCAGCCUCUACAGCUGAAGUCCCUAUUGAGCUGAGCCACAAGCCCCAUCCUCCUUUGUAGUAGCCAGGGCUACUACUCAGACCAGGAGAAUGUGCCCAGCCUUGUAAAAAGCUCGAACAGACUCUGGCAAGGAUCACUGCCCCUCUCCUGAGGGUCAGAGCCCUGGCUGUCCAGGGUCAGAGCCCUGGCUGUCUGCCCACCCACCCUUCACAUGGCUUCAAUCAAAGCAGGGCUGGGUCAAGGCUGGGCCAGAGGGCCACACCUCCUCCCUUUCAGGCCAGCUUGUCCAGACAGACAACACGCCCAACUGCAGGCUAGCCACUCUCCUUCUGCCUGCCAGCUGUCUGCCUUUGAACUUGGGGAAACAGGAGGCAGAUGCCUGCGGUUGGAAAGUGUGUGCAGGUACCACACCAUCCUCCAGGGCAGCUUGAGAUACGCAGAGGGGCUGAGCUGCCUACGCUGACCUCUGUGGUUUCUUCUGCGUGCCUGUUCAUUGUCAAAGGUGUGGCCAACCACCCUUCUUGUGUGAGGUAGCAGAGACAGGCAGAGUGAUUUGGUGACCUCCCCCAUACUGCACUGAGGGAAAGGUCUGGUGGCCCCCUGAACUCUGCUGCCAAGUAGGAGUCUGGGGGCAGAAGAAUAUCCUUCCUACUCUUGCAGGGUCAGCCAGGGGCCUCCGGAGGCACCACCCACCACGCAGAGUCAAUUCCCAGCUCGGCAUGCCUGGAAUGCUCCCCCUCGGGCCUCACCCGGAGCCCCGCGCCCUAAGUUCAGCCUCUCAGUGGGGAACAUGGUCAGGGCCAGGAUUGCUCUUCCUCUUGGCUCCUCCAGAGCAGGCGGUGAUGAGAUAUGGGUGAUAUGACAGGGAAAUGCCCCUUGGCCCUGGUGACAUGUACAAGCAGGUAGGAGCUCAUAUGAACAGGCUGAACCGGAACCUUUGAAAGAGGCGGCGAUGAGCCUGCGGACGUGGAUUCCUGAUGAGCAAGCCAGAAAUACUUUGAUUUUUCUCCCCCUCACUGAGGCAGGCGAAGCAUUCCUAAUCUGAAAAUCUAGAAUCCAAAAGGAUCUGAAAUGUGAAGCUUCUGAGAGUUGUGAUGUCGAAGUAGGUCUGUGUGUCUCGGAGGCAGAGUAUGAGGUGCUGUUGAUGGACUCAGGGUCUUCUUGCAUGCUUAGCAGGUACAUUAUCUAUGCCACCACCUAGCUAACCCUCUUCUGAUGCUUAAAUCCUGAGCAGUUCCCGCAGUGAUAUACUGUAUCCAUGCACUCUCCAUAGCGAUACACUGUAUCCAUGCACUCUCCACAAGCAGUGGGGGGGAUUUUAGUGGUCUUUGCUACAAUGGGUACACAGGAUGAUAGACAGAACCCUGCCAAGGUGCCCUAAGGUUAAUAUGAAAAUAACCUGCCAAGACAUAAGUGGGAAAGAUGGAGAGUGAUGGGCAGCAUAGACUGUAGGUCACAAACCUACCAACACGGGGAAGCUUCGUGUAUACUUAAUAUUGUUUAAAAUAGCAUUGGCUGCCAGGCAUGGUGGACACACCUUUAAUCUCAGCAUUCUGGAGGCAGAGGCAAGCAGAGUGAGUCUCAGGACAGGCAGGGCUGCACAUAAUAAUCCUAUCUCAAAAAACUAACAAACGAACAGCAUUAACGAGCAUCCAGCCUAGUGUCCAGAAUACCCUACACUGCUCUCUCCCUCAGAGUCCUCCCACUGCACUAUGCUUGUGUUCUCCUCCUCAUCCUCCUCCAUUGUGUCCAUGCUCCUUUCCUUACGUCCUCCCUACCCUGUGCUCAAGCUCCUCCUCCAUCAUCCUAUUUCCUGAAUUAUGUCUACCAGUUUGUGGAUUUUGGAGACAGGGACUUUCUGGUCAGUUUCAUUCCUUGUGGAACAUUUGUUACAUGGCUGACUCUUUUUGUUGGUUUUUUUUUUUUUUUUAAUGCCCUUGGUAUAAGCAGUAAGCAAUGGACUUUAAGGCUAGAGCUGCCAGACCCAUUGGUCAGUCUUAAGGCGUUAUGCUUAAAUGUGCCUCCAGACUACCGUGUUUACCCUUAGUUCCCAGUUGCUAUGGCUAAUCUUGGUCAUCAACUUGAUAUACAUGGGAAAACAGAACAUCAAUUGAGGCACUGCCUUCAUCAGAUUGGCUUGUGUAUGUCUAUGGGCGGGGCAUUUUCUUGAUUGUUAACUGAUAGAAGAAGGCUUAGCUCGCUGUGGGUUGAGCCCCCACCCUGGGCAGGUGGUCCAUGAACCUGGAAACAAGCAGAAAGAAACCAUGGUUUCCGAAUCAAGCUACUUCUCUCGAUGAUGGACUAUAAUUUGUAAGGCAAAUAAAUCCUUCCCUUUUCUCCCCCAAGUUUCUUUUGGUCACAGAUUCUGAACACAGCAACAAAAAUCUAGGAGAGUAGCUGAAUGGUGUUGGUAAGUCGCUGACUUCAUUAUCAGAUAACUUAGUGAUGACUUCUGGGCUGAGGAAGCCAUAAGAGUGUGGUCCUGGCUGGGGGAGGACCACUGACACACACCCUGAGGGCUGUGACCUAUGUGCCUGUCCCCAGCUCCUUCCUGGGUCUGCCUCUCCACCACUAGGCCAGCAGCUUUGUCCCACACUUGCUCCUGCAGGAUGCUCAGUCGCACCAGCUCCCCACACUGGCUUGACACUGGGGCCAGAUGGAGGGGUACAGGAUGCUCAGGAACCAUGAACCCUGACAUACUCUCACUGAAGUUGUUCCUGUCAGGCAUCUCGUCACAACCAGAAAAUCCGGACACAUGUGCAGUGUGUCCACAGGACCUGUCACAGCCCUUUCUGGGGCUAAUAAUGCCAGCAGACUUGCUGGUCAGAGCUUGGAGUCUGAUACCUGGAGUCCUGCUUCCUGGUCUCUGCAGCCAGACGCACUCUACAGGCUCAAUAGGCAGGGUGGGGGAGGGGCUGAGACCCUGUAGUGACUCGAACUCUGGAUCAGGAUUUUUGACCUCAGUUUCCUGACUAUAAACUGAGAGGUUUCAGAAAGUAUUCCCUGGGGAAGUGGGACCAGGCAGACAUGGCCACUGCACCCCCAGCAUCCCAGCCUGAGGCACAGCUGGUUCUGAUUGUGGGGGCUCAGCUCCCCUUGGUGAAGUGAGCAUGUCAGGCAAAGACUGAAACUUAACCCCAGUCCUCAUCCCACUCCUCUCCAGGAGGAGCACAGAGGAGCCCUCCCAGUGGAUCCCUGUCUCCUGGGGUGAAGCUCCCAGGAAGUGGAUCUGGGGAAGCUCCAGCCAUGAGGACUAUGAAAAUAAACUGCCAACGAUGUGAAUGGGACAGAUUCAAAGUGAUGGAAGAUUUUCAGAGACCGCAGGCUGCACGCUGCGACAGGGAUCCAGAGAUGAACAUCUGCUUUUGGUGAGGGACGGAGCCCUGGUCCAGCAUCAAGUCAGCCAACCCACCUACCAGGGCAUCUGCCUGGGUCCUCACCAACAGACAUGGGUGCAGAACUGAAGCCAGGCAGCCACCGGGCCAGAUCCCCCACCCAGGUCUGAUAUCUGACUCUGGGCAACCCCAAUCUAAAGACAUUAAUAAAACUUUCUAAAAAAUGGUUCUUUCAUCUGAACUGACCCAUCCUCUGUGUGGCGUGGUAAAAUUUCAUGGCCUUGGGCUCAGUACUGCCUCUGUGUAUGUGAGUCACCCCUCUGUCUAGCUUUUUACAUCACCCACCCUGUAGUGGCCUGGGAGUUAUUUCCACAAUCAGAUCAACUGCCACCAUAUACCAAAGACCAGCCAUGAAAGUCCUUCCUUCGGGUGAAAAAGGGAAACUCGCAGUGUAAUAAACAAAUUAAAAACCAGCUUGUAGUGCUUGCUAAGAUCUGGGUAAGGAUGUUCCAGGGUUGGGCGUGGCAGUAAACUUUUAGCAAUCCUCCUGCUUCAGCCUCCUGGUGCUGGAAUUACAAAUGUGUGCCACUGUGCCCAGUUGCUGUUUUUAGUUUCUGGCCAUGGCUGAAUUUUAGCUUAUAAAAUCAUAGAUGAAAGAAAAGUAGUCAAGCCAGACACUGCGUGAGGUUUCAGACAACCAAUGGGCUCUUAGAAGACAUUCCCUAGGGGGCUGGAGAGAUGGCUCAGCGGUUAAGAGCACUGACUGUUCUUCCAAAGGUCCUGAGUUCAA